GGCUGAGUGAGUCCAGAGACCAGCCAGCGUGUUUGGAUGCCAGGGCGUCCAGCUCCCUCUCUGGGACCCUCAUCCUGCUUGGCUGGAAGCUGUUUCCCUUGACUGCACUUUGCAUCAUCUAUGUCCUCAAGAGGAGAUUCCCUUCCAAGAGGACUGAUCCAGGAGAGGCACUGGCCAUGAAGUCUGCAACCACUACCAAAGCUUCUCCUGCCUCACCAGCCUUCUGAGACCGUCCUGCGCUGGCUGUCCCUCGCUGUCUCCUGCAGGCCCCAGAGAAAGUGAGAGCCUGGACCGGGAGGGUCAGGAGUGAGAGGGAGGCUCUCACAACCUAUGAAGGAAAGAA